AUUAAUUUGUAUACAUAUUAGUGUUUUAUUUUUACUAGUUUUCCUUUUAGAUGGAACUGAAUGCACAGAAUCCAUUUUGAUGUUAGAAAAGCAAGUCUCCAGUGAAACUCUGUAUAGUGAAACUAUCCAGAAGCCUGCUCUGUGUUUGAAAG
rnacentral:lncRNA from 1 species